UACGUAGGGUGCAAGCGUUGUCCGGAUUUAUUGGGCGUAAAGAGCUCGUAGGCGGUUUGUCGCGUCGGAUGUGAAAACCCAGGGCUCAACCCUGGGCCUGCAUUCGAUACGGGCAGACUAGAGUAUGGCAGGGGAGACUGGAAUUCCUGGUGUAGCGGUGAAAUGCGCAGAUAUCAGGAGGAACACCGGUGGCGAAGGCGGGUCACUGGACCACAACUGACGCUGAGGCGCGAAAGCUAGGGGAGCAAACAGG
rnacentral:rRNA from 1 species